rnacentral:rRNA from 1 species
AUUGAACGCUGGCGGCAGGCCUAAUACAUGCAAGUCGAGCGGAGCGGCGGACGGGUGAGUAAUGCCUAGGAAUUUGCCUGUUAGUGGGGGACACCGUCGGGAAAGGUGCGCCAAUACCGCAUGCUAUCAGAUGAGUCUAGGUCGCCUUAGCUAGUUGGUGAGGGAAAGGCUUACCAAGGCGACGAUGCGUAGCUGGACUGAGAGGAUGAUCAGUCACACUGGGACUGAGACACGGUCCAGACUCCUACGGGAGGCAGCAGUAGGGAAUAUUGGGCAAUGGACGAAAGCCUGACCCAGCCAUGCCGCGUGUGUGAAGAAGGUCUUCGGAUUGUAAAGCACUUUUGGUUGGGAAGCGUUACCUAACCAGUAAGCACCGGCUAACUUCGUGCCAGCAGCCGCGGUAAUUC